UAAAAUGCGGAUAAUAUAGCCUUGCGAAGUUUGCCGUUUUUCAGUCAUUUUCCAUUACAAACGGGAAAUUGAUAAUCAGAUGAUCAAACUGAUUAUUGUAAUACAAUGACUGAAAAACGGCAAACUUCGCAAGGCUAUAUUAUCCCCAUUUUACA